rnacentral:rRNA from 1 species
GUUUGAUCCUGGCUCAGGACGAACGCUGGCGGCGUGCCUAAUACAUGCAAGUCGAGCGGGCAGAUGGGAGCUUGCUCUGAUGUUAGCGGCGGACGGUGAGUAACACGUGGGUAACCUGCCUGUAAGACUGGGAUAACUCCGGGAAACCGGGGCAUNCGGAUGGUUGUUUGAACCGCAUGGUUCAAACAUAAAGGUGGCUUCGGCUACUUACAGAUGGACCCGCGGCGCAUUAGCUAGUUGGUGAGGUAAUGGCUCACCAAGGCAACGAUGCGUAGCCGACCUGAGAGGGUGAUCGGCCACACUGGGACUGGCACGGCCCUGACUCUACGGGAGGCAGCAGUAGGAAUCUUCCGCAAUGGACGAAAGUCUGACGGAGCAACGCCGCGUGAGUGAUGAGGGUUUUCGGAUCGUGCCUGUUGUUAGGGAAGAACAAGUACCGUUCGAUAGGGCGGUACCUUGACGGUACCUAACCAGAAAGCCACGGCUCUACGUGCCAGCAGCCGCGGUAAUACGUAGGUGCAAGCGUUGUCCGAAUUAUUGGGCGUAAAGGGCUCGCAGGCGGUUUCUUAAGUCUGAUGUGAAAGCCCCGGCUCAACCGGGGAGGGUCUGAAACUGGGGAACUUGAGUGCAGAAGAGGAGUGGAAUUCCACGUGUAGCGGUGAAAUGCGUAGAGAUGUGGAGGAACACCAGUGGCGAAGGCGACUCUCUGGUCUGUAACUGACGCUGAGGAGCGAAAGCGUGGGGAGCGAACAGGAUUAGAUACCCUGGUAGUCCACGCCGUAAACGAUGAGUGCUGGCGUUAGGGGGUUUCCGCCCUUAGUGCUGCAGCUAACGCAUUAAGCACUCCGCCUGGGAGUACGGUCGCAAGACUGAAACUCAAAGGAAUUGACGGGGGCCGCACAAGCGGUGUAGCAUGUGGUUUAAUUCGAAGCAACGCGAAGAACUCACAGGUCUUGACAUCCUCUGACAAUCCUAGAGAUGGGACGUCUUCGGGGCAGAGUGACAGGUGGUGCAUGGUUGUCGUCAGCUCGUGUCGUGAGAUGUUGUUGUUGUCCCGCAACGAGCGCAACCCUUGAUCUUAGUUGCCAGCAUUCAGUUGGGCACUCUAAGGUGACUGCCGGUGACAAACCGGAGGAAGGUGGGGAUGACGUCAAAUCAUCAUGCCCCUUAUGACCUGGGCUACACGUGCUACAAUGGACAGAACAAAGGGCAGCGAAACCGCGAGUUCGCCAAUCCCAAAUCUGUUCUUCNUUCGGAUCGCAGUCUGCAACUCGACUGCGCGUGAAGCUGGAAUCGCUAGUAAUCGCGGAUCAGCAUGCCGCGGUGAAUACGUUCCCGGGCCUUGUACACACCGCCCGUCACACCACGAGAGUUUGUAACACCCGAAGUCGGUGAGGUAACCUUUAGGAGCCAGCCGCCGAAGGUGGGACAGAUGAUUGGGGUGAAGUCGGAACAACAGCCGUAUCGGAAGGUGCGGCUG